rnacentral:rRNA from 1 species
GGGGAUAAGCGGAAGAAAUUCCGUCUAAUACCGCGUAAUAACUCCGAGAGGCAUCUCCUGGGGUUUAAAGGGUAACACCGGCUACGGAUGGCCAUGCGGCGCAUUAGCUAGUUGGCGGGGUAACGGCCCACCAAGGCGACGAUGCGUAGGGGUUCUGAGAGGAAGGUCCCCCACACUGGUACUGAGACACGGACCAGACUCCUACGGGAGGCAGCAGUGAGGAAUAUUGGUCAAUGGGCGCGAGCCUGAACCAGCCAAGUCGCGUGAGGGAAGACGGUCCUAUGGAUUGUAAACCUCUUUUGUCGGGGAGCAAAAGGCGCCACGCGUGGCGUUCCGAGAGUACCCGAAGAAAAAGCAUCGGCUAACUCCGUGCCAGCAGCCGCGGUAAUACGGAGGAUGCGAGCGUUAUCCGGAUUUAUUGGGUUUAAAGGGUGCGCAGGCGGAAGAUCAAGUCAGCGGUAAAAUUGAGAGGCUCAACCUCUUCGAGCCGUUGAAACUGGUUUUCUUGAGUGAGCGAGAAGUAUGCGGAAUGCGUGGUGUAGCGGUGAAAUGCAUAGAUAUCACGCAGAACUCCGAUUGCGAAGGCAGCAUACCGGCGCUCAACUGACGCUCAUGCACGAAAGUGUGGGUAUCGAACAGGAUUAGAUACCCUGGUAGUCCACACAGUAAACGAUGAA